AUACGAGGGGUGCAAGCGUUAAUCGGAAUUACUGGGCGUAAAGCGUUCGUAGGCGGUUAUUUAAGCAAGAUGUGAAAGCCCAGGGCUCAACCUUGGAACUGCAUUUUGAACUGGGUAACUAGAGUAUUGUAGAGGGUGGUGGAAUUUCCAGUGUAGCGGUGAAUGCGUAGAGAUUGGAAGGAACAUCAGUGGCGAAGGCGGCCACCUGGACCAAUAUUGACGCUGAGGUACGAAAGCGUGGGUAGCAAACAGGAUUAGAUACCCUUGUAGUCC
rnacentral:rRNA from 1 species